AAACACAAGAGAGAGUGGUUUGGCUGGAGAAGGAGCUGGAGCUACCUCUGAACCAAGAUGGGGAUGGAGUCUUAUAGAUAAAACGUCUCCCAGGAGCACCACCUCACUCUACCUCCAAGACAACCCUCCAAGAGUCUGUCUGAAAGUGACUAAUGAUAGUGCAGCCCCUGAGCUAAAGGCUGUGAUCAGAGGGAAGAAAGGGAACAGAGAAGACCUGUGAUAGAGGAGGAAUCACAUGGAGGCAGUUGAAGGAUGCAGGAACUUCAUGACCUGACCUACAUUGUCCAUGCAAGAACAAAGGAUGCGGACACCAAGAAGUCUGCAACAACCAAUCGCUCCCCUCCCUCACCUUGCUUUAAAAGUGCUUUGCUGAAACCCUUCUGGGAGUUCGGGAUUUGGGGGGCCUGUUCUCCUUGCAUGGCCCUGCAAUAAAACUUUCUCUG